rnacentral:lncRNA from 1 species
CUUGCUUACCUUAGGAUCUUUUCGUUAUCUUUUUAUAUAGAGAUAGAGUCAUAUAUAUUUAUGCUUGAAUCUGAUAGACCGUUAUGUCCUAAUCUAGUUGGUUGUUAAGCCCUAAUCUAGUAGGCCAUUAGGCCCUAAUCUGAUAAACCAUUAAGACGAAGAAUCUGCUCAUUAUCCUGCAAAUCAAGGUUCUUAGUCAUGGGCAUUAUCCAUAAAUUUUGUCCACAUUCUAGAAGUCAUAGAAGGUGGUGCGAUAUCAUGGGAGAUUCCAUCAGGUCGACUUUGUUGUUGAGUGAGUUAAUGGCUUGAGGUCAAGGGAAUGCCAGGGUACCAUCUCGAUGUGAAUCCAUAGUCGAUGGAGUAUGUGUGAGGUCACAAGCCUUAAGAUGGUAUUUAUCCAUCAUCUAGAUUUGUAUGCGAUGAGUUGGAGUCAGCAUUUAUCUGAUUAGCUUCCAUCCGAUGAGAAAAUCAGUAAUUGUUCGAGAUCAUAGACUUGCUAUUUUUCCUUAGGCUAGAGCUAUAUCAUAGUCUAAGCUACCUCACCCCAGGACUAAGUGCUGUGGUUGAUAAAAAAUGACUUACACAAAUGACUCAUAUCCCAAUACUUGCCCCCCACUUUCGAGUCUAAAGUGACUUGCUGACUUUGGAUGAUAGGAGU